UAGGGAAUAUUGCACAAUGGGGAAGACCCUGAUGCAGCGACGCCGCGUGAAGGAAGAAGUAAUUCGUUAUGUAAAGCUCUAUCAGUAGGGAAGAAGAAAUGACGGUACCUGACUAAGAAGCCCCGGCUAACUACGUGCCAGCAGCCGCGGUAAUACGUAGGGGGCGAAGCGUUAUCCGGAUUUACUGGGUGUAAAGGGAGCGUAGACGGAGCAGCAAGUCUGAUGUGAAAGGCAGGGGCUCAACCCCUGGACUGCAUUGGAAACUGUCGAUCUUGAGUACCGGAGGGGUAAGCGGAAUUCCUAGUGUAGCGGUGAAAUGCGUAGAUAUUAGGAGGAACACCAGUGGCGAAGGCGGCUUACUGGACGGUAACUGACGUUGAGGCUCGAAAGCGUGGGAGCAAACAGGAUUAGAUACC
rnacentral:rRNA from 1 species